AUUAAUCCUUCAGUAUAAAGAACAGUUAGAAAAUGAUUUUAGCACGAGGAUGCAAGAGGAAAAAAUCCUUGUGCUUUCUGUCUGUUUUCGUUUUUGUGGUGGCCCAGAUUGAAUAAGGGAAUACAUUU